GAAAUGCGAUAAGUAGUGUGAAUUGCAGAAUUCAGUGAAUCAUCGAAUCUUUGAACGCACAUUGCGCCCUUUGGUAUUCCAAAGGGCAUGCCUGUUCGAGCGUCAUUUUACCCUCAAGCUUUGCUUGGUGUUGGGCGUCUUGUCUCUAGCUUUGCUGGAGACUCGCCUUAAAGUAAUUGGCAGCCGGCCUACUGGUUUCGGAGCGCAGCACAAGUCGCACUCUCUAUCAGCAAAGGUCUAGCAUCCAUUAAGCCUUUUUUCAACUUUUGACCUCGGAUCAGGUAGGGAUACCCGCUGAACUUAAGC
rnacentral:misc_RNA from 1 species